rnacentral:lncRNA from 1 species
GCAGAGCUUGCAGUGAGCCAAAACUGUGUCACUGCACUCCAGCCUGGGCAACACACUGAGCCUGUCCGGCAGAGCAGCGGAUGUACAGAUGAUUCAGUGGCUGGCAGGAAGCCCGCCCUGCCCGCCCGCCAGUGUCAGUGGUGUUGGCAUCAGCUCGGGCAGGUGUGCGGGCUCAGGAUGGGACGGCCGCGGUGAGGAGCCCUGGACUCUCAGGCUGCACAGCCUUGGGACAUCCCAGGG